rnacentral:tRNA from 1 species
GCGGUCAUGCUGGAAUUGGUAGACAGGCACGGUUGAGGGCCGUGUGGGCUUCCCCGUGAGAGUUCGAGUCUCUCUGACCGCACCA